rnacentral:lncRNA from 1 species
AUGAACAGGACACCGGUAGAGAUUUUGGGGACUAGAUACCCCCUAAGUAAAAAAGAAAUAAUAAAAACGUCUAUAAAAUGGGAAAAACGCACCAGAAAAUUAAACACCAAAUGGCCCGCGGUGGGAACGUUGGAUGUCUCUGUGUGUGAGGAAAUGGAAACACUGAUAAAAAACUAUAAACCCGAGGACAAGAAACAAAAAAGGACGAAUAAACGAGAAAGAGAAAACGAAAUACUAAAAAUGUUUCAGGAAGAAAGAGCGGCUUUGUUACAAAGCAUGAAGACGGCAAGAGAAGAACUAAAGAAGAACGAUAACACAAGCAAAGAGAAAACGGAGUCGGGGGGACCAGCCCCCCCGCCGUAUUCCAAUGGACAGUUUCCCAUGAUAACUGGACACAUGGAAAUUAAAGGGGUAGUGGUGGUGACAGAAGAAAGGGAAGGGAUCACCUCACCUGGAGCAAUGUGUGCACCUUCACAUUCAACAGAAAGAGGCAAGGAAAUAACUCCGAAGCCUAUAGGAACGAAAGAAGAAGGUUUGAAUCGCUAUAGUGGCCUGAGGAAAGCCCUAACAGCAAUGGAAACAGAAAUAGGAGAAAGGGAGACGUCAGAGCUGCAAACAAGAAGAGCGAAAGACCAAACGGAGGGGAACUCCAGGAAAAGCCAAAACACACUAGCAGAACGGGCAUCGGGUAAUAGUCCGAGCGAGGAAGAGGAGGAAGAGGAAGAGGAUGAUACAUCCUGUAGGGGACAAAUAGUGGCACAAAGAAUAGAAGAGAAACUGGGACGGUCAAAAUCAACACACGGAGAAAACGUAAGAUUGCAAGAAAGACAGGAUGAGGCCUUGGCCCGUAGUAUGAAUGAGAGCCUGAGAAAUGAGCCUGCAGGGAAAUAUUGCAGGGCUCGUAGGGAAGGGUCUAGGAAAGAAUCGGGUUAUUAUGAAAAACAGCGGCAGAUCCUGAUAAAAGGAGAGCAAGGACACUAUAUACCAUGGGCUGCACAGGGCAUGGAGGGGUUGGUUUUCCGCUUGCCAGAUCUCCAUGAGGGAGCAGGGAAGUGGAUCAGAACCUUUGAAGAAUACACCAUGGGGAAAUUGCUGGCGGUGGGUGACAUAAAGGCAUUGCUAGCGAGGGUGACGAGCGUGCAGAAAAUGAGAGAAAUCAUGCAGGAUGGUGCGAUCAACGGCACAGAUUGGGAGGUGACGAAGGAUGGACUGAUGUUCGACAGGUAUAGACCUGCCGUCUGGCGUGCAUUAAGGGCAGCAUACCCAACGAAGUUUGACCUCAACGCUCUGAGAGGUGAAGCUAUUGGAGCUACAGAAAACCCGGCCACGUACUUACAUGGACAUUUGGAAAGAUGGAGAAUGGAAACACAACAAGAUCCAGAAGGAAAUGAACUAUUGACAGCAAUGUUCCGAACUUCUGUGAUGGAAGCCAUGCCCCAGCCGGUAAGGAGCCGACUGGAGGAUGUGGUGGGGCUUACUUCAAAACCUUACAAAGAGUUCUGUGACUAUGUGAUUCAUGCCGUGGAAAAACACAGGAAGGACGAACAGAGACAGAUUGAACAAGGAAAAGACAUUCAGAGAAGGCUGGCCCAGUUGCAGUUGGAUGAAGUAACCAACAAAGGAAAGAAGAAAGUCCAUGCCUCAGUAACCACCCCUGUGCCCGAGAUAGGAACAAUGUCUGCCGUUUCCCCAGGAGGGCCGCAACCGUCAACCCCCAGGCGGGCCCAAAUGCCUACCUUACUGCUAGUAGUAAAUGUAUACACACAGCCCCCUAAUUGGAAUGGUGGAAAUAAACAACAGAAAAAUACCCAGGCAGAUCAGAGAAAGGGACCCAGGAACCUUAGGGGGGCACCUGGUGUCUGUUGGGGUUGCCACCAAUCAGGACACUCCAGACGAGAAUGCCCUACGAACCCCUGGCAGGAUCGGACUGGAGGAAACACAAAUAACAGGCGACCACCAACAAACAACAAUCCAGGUGGCUGGCAGCCGCAUACAAACGGGAACCGGAGCGGUUGGAGCCCAAAUGGUGGAUGGCCGGGCAACCAAAGCCAACCUUCGGGCCCUGUGAACCCAUGGUCAGGGCCUAACCAAACAUACUAG